CACCGGCGGCGCGAGUGGUGGCCACUUUUAUUGGGUCUAAAGCGUCCGUAGCCGGCUUGGCAAGUCCCCUGGGAAAUCUGGCGGCUUAACCGUCAGGCGUCCAGAGGAUACUGCCAGGCUUGGGACCGGGAGAGGUGAGAGGUACCUCAGGGGUAGGGGUGAAAUCUUGUGAUCCCUGAGGGACCACCAGUGGCGAAGGCGUCUCACUAGAACGGGUCCGACGGUCAGGGACGAAAGCUGGGGGCACGAACCGG
rnacentral:rRNA from 1 species